AGAGUUUGAUCCUGGCUCAGGACGAACGCUGGCGGCGUGCUUCAUACAUGCAAGUCGAACGCGAAUCGGUAGCUUGCUACCGAGGAAAGUGGCGGACGGGUGAGUAAUAUGUAGAGAAUCUGCCCUAGAGAGGGGGACAACAGCUGGAAACGGUUGCUAAUACCCCAUAUGAGCGUACCUGAAAUGGUAUUCUUGAAAACUCCGGUGCUCUAGGAUGAGUCUGCAUCUGAUUAGCUAGG
rnacentral:rRNA from 1 species